rnacentral:rRNA from 1 species
AUUGAACGCUGGCGGCAUGCUUUACGCAUGCAAGUCGAGCGGCAGCGCGGGGGCAACCCUGGCGGCGAGCGGCGAACGGGUGAGUAAUGCAUCGGAACGUACCCUGGAGUGGGGGAUAACGCCGCGAAAGCGGCGCUAAUACCGCAUAUGCUCUGAGGAGGAAAGUGGGGGACCGCAAAGGCCUCACGCUCUGGGAGCGGCCGAUGUCCGAUUAGCUAGUUGGUGAGGUAAAGGCUUACCAAGGCGACGAUCGGUAGCUGGUCUGAGAGGAUGAUCAGCCACACUGGGACUGAGACACGGCCAGACUCCUACGGGAGGCAGCAGUGGGGAAUUUUGGACAAUGGGGGCAACCCUGAUCCAGCCAUGCCGCGUGAGUGAAGAAGGCCUGU